GAAAGGCUUUGCUGUGUUUCCUCUGCAGAGAAAGUGCCCAGGUAACAGAGAUGACUCAAAAUCAUGUACAUUAGCAGUCAGAUCAGACAAACCAAAGCCUCACGGUGUGCCCACGUCGGAACUCCUUCUCCUAGCAUUUUUCUGGGUCAGCCUGGAUUGAGACACACUGGCCUUUAGAACUUGAAUAAAAUGCCGUUUCACUCAUUGCCAUCUUCGAUAGUUGGUAGAAGGUGAUUGCAGUUCCAAGUGGUGUCACCAUUUUAGUGAGUGCAUUGUGAAGGGAUAAGUAAGCAGAGAUGCAAAACCUCUUCCACUUCUUUUCCAUGAAGCACAGCUUUCAGAAGAAUUGAACUAUAGUAAAUGGCAGAGAGUCUAGCACAAUUAAGUAUUUCUAAACCAGGACUGAAAAUGAAGAAAUGAUCACCAUAGAGGAAACAAAAUCAGAGAGGAUAGGAAACCUGUCCAAAGUCAUAUGGCUGAUAAGAGGCAGAGUGAAGACUGGACCUGAGCAAGUUUGGUGUAGAAGCCUGUGCUCUUAACUGCCAUCCUAGAUUCUUUCUUAAGACUUCUUCUGAGGAACUGAAGACACAUUUUGUAGAAGUUGAUGGAUUAAGAAAAAGAAGUUGCAUUUUAUUACCUAUCCUAAAGAUAGAAGGUUCCUCGCAUGACUGACAGCUUAGAAGCCAGAGGUCAAGGGAGCCUAUCGAUCAAUGCACUCCACGCAAAUAUGUCCCAGGAGCAGGAUAGAACAAGAGAGAGAGAGGUUCAGGAAACAUCUGAAGGGGAAUGGGCAAGUGAUGCCUGAACGGUACUGGCAGAAGAUAAAUGGUAUGUUAUUUUAAGCCAAUAGAAAGCUUAAUCCCAUGAGGGAAACUCUGGGAAAUGUACACCAUAUGAGUCAGAAUUACUCCAAGAAUGAGGGAGCUAGGACACUUAGCUUCCUGAACCAUUGGGUGUGAUCUGCCCCUGUAGGCAAAGGGCCUUCCUAGGAUCUAGAAAAAAAGACUCCAGGCAGCUAGAUGUAGAUACUGGCCAUUGGAUGUUUGUCAAAGCAAAAGAAAGAUCUGAAGGGUAAGGGAAGGACAUUGUUGGUGUCUAUACUUUUGGCCAAUAUGCCACAAGUACAAAUGCACCAGUUACAGUGUUAAGCAUGACUGCUUGAAUUUACAACCAGCUUUUGAGGAUAUGGAUAUGGAAGGUGUUCUUAAAAGUCCCAUCUUAUUGUCGUGACAGCAAAGAUCAUUAUAUAAGUCUGUUAUUAUUUCAGGCAAUUAAAAAACUGUCUCGUAAUUAUUUGAGUCACAUUUCUUUUUAAUAUUUUUGACAGUCUGUAAUUUUAGAAUAACACUCUCAAAUACAUCAUUUGCCAUAUUUUAACACAUUGGAGUUACAUAAUCUGUGUAUCAGUGUACCAGAGUGAAUUUGGUUUUGUGAAGACCUCAGAAGAAAAGCUUACCUGCAAUCUCCAUGUCUAAACUUGAAUAGAUUAAAAUGUUCCCUUGAUUAGGA
rnacentral:lncRNA from 1 species